rnacentral:rRNA from 1 species
UACGAAGGGGGGCUAGCGUUGUUCGGAAUUACUGGGCGUAAAGCGCGCGCAGGCGGUCUUCCAAGUCAGUGGUGAAAGCCCGGAGCUCAACUCCGGAAUUGCCAUUGAAACUGUUAGACUUGAGGAUGAGAGAGGUGAGUGGAAUUCCCAGUGUAGAGGUGAAAUUCGUAGAUAUUGGGAAGAACACCGGUGGCGAAGGCGGCGACCUGGUCCGAUACUGACGCUGAGGCGCGAAAGCGUGGGGAGCAAACAGG